CCUACGGGGGGCAGCAGUGGGGAAUAUUGCACAAUGGGCGCAAGCCUGAUGCAGCGACGCCGCGUGAGGGAUGACGGCCUUCGGGUUGUAAACCUCUGUUAGCAUCGAAGAAGCGAAAGUGACGGUAGGUGCAGAGAAAGCGCCGGCUAACUACGUGCCAGCAGCCGCGGUAAUACGUAGGGCGCGAGCGUUGUCCGGAAUUAUUGGGCGUAAAGAGCUUGUAGGCGGUUGGUCGCGUCUGCUGUGAAAGGCUGGGGCUUAACCCUGGUUUUGCAGUGGGUACGGGCUAACUAGAGUGCAGUAGGGGAGACUGGAAUUCCUGGUGUAGCGGUGGAAUGCGCAGAUAUCAGGAGGAACACCGAUGGCGAAGGCAGGUCUCUGGGCUGUAACUGACGCUGAGAAGCGAAAGCAUGGGGAGCGAACAGGAUUAGAUACCCUAGUAGUC
rnacentral:rRNA from 1 species